rnacentral:rRNA from 1 species
CCUACGGGUGGCAGCAGUGGGGAAUUUUGGACAAUGGGCGCAAGCCUGAUCCAGCUAUUCCGCGUGUGGGAAGACGGCCUUCGGGUUGUAAACCACUUUUGUAGCGAACGAAAAGUCUGUUGAUAAUACCGAUAGAUGAUGACGGUACUCUACGAAUAAGCACCGGCUAACUACGUGCCAGCAGCCGCGGUAAUACGUAGGGUGCGAGCGUUAAUCGGAAUUACUGGGCGUAAAGGGUGUGCAGGCGGUUUUGCAAGAUGGAUGUGAAAGCCCCGGGCUUAACCUGGGAAAGCCAUACAUGACUGCAAGACUAGAGUGCGUCAGGGGGGGGUGGAAUUCCAAGUGUAGCAGUGAAAUGCGUAGAUAUUUGGAAGAACACCGAUUGCGAAGGCAGCUUACCAAACUACGACUGACGUGGAGGCACGAAAGCGUGGGGAGCAAACAGGAUUAGAUACCCCAGUAGUC